AAUGAACGCUGGCGGCAUGCCUAACACAUGCAAGUCGAACGAUGCCUUCGGGCAUAGUGGCGCACGGGUGCGUAACGCGUGGGAAUCUGCCCUUGGCUUCGGAAUAACAGUUAGAAAUGACUGCUAAUACCGGAUGAUGUCCCCCUGAGAGAUCUUGGGGACCAAAGAUUUAUCGGCCAGGGAUGAGCCCGCGUAGGAUUAGGUAGUUGGUGGGGUAAAGGCCUACCAAGCCGACGAUCCUUAGCUGGUCUGAGAGGAUGAUCAGCCACACUGGGACUGAGACACGGCCCAGACUCCUACGGGAGGCAGCAGUGGGGAAUAUUGGACAAUGGGGGGAACCCUGAUCCAGCAAUGCCGCGUGAGUGAUGAAGGCCUUAGGGUUGUAAAGCUCUUUUACCAGGGAUGAUAAUGACAGUACCUGGAGAAUAAGCUCCGGCUAACUCCGUG
rnacentral:rRNA from 1 species